rnacentral:lncRNA from 1 species
GGCUGAUAGCAGUCUUCAGGUAUAGUGAGCGGGAGGGCUCGUGUUAACAACGCUACGGUCGGAUCCGAGACAAAGCACAGAUCAAGCAAUCGACCCAAGGAGUUUUGUACAUGGUUGACUUGAGACAGGGACAGGUCUAAUAAGCCAUCAAUAAACUCAUGUCGUGACAUGGGCACAAGGUUGUUUGACUCGUUAACUGAAGACCAGACAGUACCUGGCAGGUUGAAACCUCCAAGAACUAUUAAAUGGCCUUUAUCAGAUAACGAGGAAGAACCAGUUUUUAAGGCGGACAAGUGCUUCUGGUAUAUUAAUACAUCCGAUGUCGGUGGAAUAUACGAGCAAGUGACAUAAAUAGACUGGCCGGGAAGAAUCAGUCUAACACAGAGG